rnacentral:rRNA from 1 species
GAUGAACGCUGGCGGCGUGCCUAAUACAUGCAAGUCGAGCGAACAGAUGAGGAGCUUGCUCCUCUGACGUUAGCGGCGGACGGGUGAGUAACACGUGGAUAACCUACCUAUAAGACUGGGAUAACUUCGGGAAACCGGAGCUAAUACCGGAUAAUAUAUUGAACCGCAUGGUUCAAUAGUGAAAGACGGUUUUGCUGUCACUUAUAGAUGGAUCCGCGCCGCAUUAGCUAGUUGGUAAGGUAACGGCUUACCAAGGCAACGAUGCGUAGCCGACCUGAGAGGGUGAUCGGCCACACUGGAACUGAGACACGGUCCAGACUCCUACGGGAGGCAGCAGUAGGGAAUCUUCCGCAAUGGGCGAAAGCCUGACGGAGCAACGCCGCGUGAGUGAUGAAGGUCUGCGGAUCGUAAAACUCUGUUAUUAGGGAAGAACAAAUGUGUAAGUAACUAUGCACGUCUUGACGGUACCUAAUCAGAAAGCCACGGCUAACUACGU